rfam:Nippostrongylus brasiliensis genome assembly, scaffold: NBR_scaffold0007868
GUCUCAGUAGCAUAGUGGUUAGUGCACAGCCCCGGAUGGGUUGAGACGCGGGUUCGAAUCCCGCCUGAGAUG